GUGCUCAUUGCAGCAGCACAUAUACUAAAAUGGGAACAAUGCACAGAAGAUUAGCAUGGGCCCUGUGCAAGGAUGACACACAAAUUCUUGAAAUAUUCCAUAGCAAA
ensembl:snRNA U6 U6 spliceosomal RNA